UCCAGACCAUAUCCAUAUUUCCUUUCCAUUCCAGGCUUCCGUUUUCUCGUGUCCAGCCGUUAGUGGUUAGUCCCGUUCCCGUAGUCCAACUCUGCGACUCAGUGUCGUUUUGAUUACUUCACCUCGGUCUCUCUCUGUUAGAAAUUUAGUUAUUAGGAUUAGUAACUUAGCGUGGUGUUUAAUUAAUUGAAAUGAUUGUAAUAAUCCGUUCAGCGUCCACUUAAAGCUCUUUGUUUCUCGAUUGUCGAAUCGCAAUACCCUGUGUUAUCCAACGCUCCCCUUUCACACCUUGACACCUAACACGUGCUUCAAUUGAAGCAGUUAAGUGGAAGUGUAUGCUAAAGCAUUCCAGAUAACAUCAGUCGAAGAGAAAAGUGGUAUAGAUGAAUUUGCUGCAAUGGAUUUAAAUCUCUACAUGCUGAAGUGGACUUGUUUGACAGUAUUGCAUUUGUCUAUGCUUACUAGGGAUUCCCAAUGAAGAACAAGAACCUGAUGGGAUUAAAUGAAGCAUUUUGUAUCAGUCCCAUCCCGAUUUCAUGAAGCUUCAACUUUUGCCCUUAAUAGCAGGAAUCUGGUUUCUGGAUCUGUCGUUCACAUGUAACAGGUAUAAUCAAAUCAAUCUUUUUGAUCGGGGGCCAAUAGGGACAACCUUUUUGAAGAGCUGCCUAUAAUUCGAAAAGUGAGUAUGAUUUUGUAAACUAGAUGUCGCUAUCGUCUGGCAGUUUCAAACUUAGCGACUAGGUGGCGUGGCGUGUCAUACGAUUUGUUGUCAUGAAACGUUUGGUUGUUCUAAUUCUAUUUAUUGGGGAUUCAAUUAACUGGCGCAACUUAUUAAAUUUUUACGCUACUUAUUUACAGUAAGCUACAUUGUUGACUUUAUGGCUGAGGUAAUGAUCAGUUUAUCAUUUUAACUUAUAUUAGGUGAACAUGAACAGUUAAAGGAAAAGUACCAUCAACCCUUUUUGUUUUCUAAAAGAUUCACUCAAAAGAUGCAGGAAAGCACCACACCACAUUAAUUUUGAAAUAUUAAUGUCUUCUUUUUUUAAUUUAUUAAAACAGGUGGAUCUGAUCAUCUCUCAUGGUUAACAGCUGCCUGAUCAAGCCUUUCUAAUAAUCUUACAGUCAUUAUACAGGCUAAGAAGACCAGUAUUAUUAUUCUGUUUUCGUUGAAAUGUAAGAAUUGUGUCUGUAGAGUCAUAAUUUAAUAAUUUAUGUUCUGUUAACAGAUGAAUUUUUAGUAGAGGAAGUAAGCAAUCGAUAGUCAUCCUCAUCACAUCAUUUGUGAUGUGUCUUGUCUUCUGGAUGGACUAGGAAAUCUGAGUGGUGUUAUCAUUUGAAAUGAUGACCUGCGGUUAUGUUCUAUGCGGUUCCUCUUGGUCUUAUGAUCAACUAAUUAAAAUGUACAACGGAUCGAGGUUAGGAAGAGAUUAGUCAGAACCGUAAUCCUUCAAAAGGGGCGGCGGUUUGGCUGUACAAAUGUUAUCUGUUGAUGCAAUGAAAGAAUAAGUAAGUAGCUCUAAUUCAUGGGUCAUUUUGCAGUCAGGUCAUCUUGCAGUCAGGUUAUAAAUUAUAUUCAAACGUAUAAUUCAAAUUUAUGGGUGAUUCACAACUUAUUGACAAUACCUUACAUUGUUGGGUUGGAUAAUGUUCUAUCUAUUAUUUUAACUUGGGGGAGGGCAGAAAAGCUCCCGCGUUGUUCUGAACGUCUCACACUCACUCAAAUUAUGCUGUUAACAAUGGUCUCUAGCUAUUACUUUAGUGCUGAAAUUGGUAGUGACAUAUUUGUGUAUAUAGUUUCAACACGAUUAUCUGUUUGUAGCUGCAGUUCGUUGAUCACUUAACAUGUUUUUCUACAGCCAUUAAAUCUAGCCUAAGCAGACCAGCAUUAUUUAUAUUCCAGAGAGUGAUCACAAUGUGCAGUAGUUCUGCAGCCUGUUUCCAGUUCAGGCUGUUGCAUGCCGUCGGUGGAUCUGGUGUUAUCCUGGAUUGUGUUGAUCUGGUUGCGGCCAAAUGGUGAAUAUGUCAUCAAAUCAAGUUCAGUUGUUGCACGGAGUUUGUGGUACCGGUGUUAUCCUGGAGUAUGUUUUGACAAACUUUGUUUUGCAUGUUUGUGAAUGGAGUUUUCUCCUCGUCAUUUAACUUUUUUUUUUACUGUCGUCUGUUUUGUGUGUAAUAAAAGAUAAUUUGUGUUUUGACGAGGAUAGGAGGGGACGAGGGGUUCUUGUCGAACGGAAAAUUGAAGGUUUAAGAUUUUAGGAAAAUUGCCCACCUGAUUUGUGCAAGUGGACAGUAAAACACGAAGUUUAUUACACUUGUGAUUCAAUUCCAGCUAAAACCGCCUUGUUCAAAUUGUAAUUAUCACUUUAACAGCAUGUUGCUGUCGUGUGAUACAUUCAGGAAGAAUUCUUA